GUCAAGUUAGUUUAAUUAAAAUAUCAGCCUGUGGAUUUGAAGAUGAAAAUGACUUUUCACUUGACC
rnacentral:tRNA from 1 species